rnacentral:misc_RNA from 1 species
GCAAACUUGGUCAUUUAGAGGAAGUAAAAGUCGUAACAAGGUUUCCGUAGGUGAACCUGCGGAAGGAUCAUUAUUGAGUCUCAUCCAGCUGAUUUCCGCUGUGCAUUUACUUGCACGCUCAAAUUUUCUGGCUCUUUGACUUACACACCUGUGCACUUUCAGGCAAGCCUUUGGUGGCGAGUCUGUUUUUUACACCUUUUUGUAUGUCUUUUGAUAAUAAUCAAUUGCUCUGUGAUGGAGUAAUUGUUAAAGUUAAAUACAACUUUCAGCAACGGAUCUCUUGGCUCUCCCAUCGAUGAAGAACGCAGC